rnacentral:rRNA from 1 species
UACGUAGGGCGCAAGCGUUGUCCGGAAUUAUUGGGCGUAAAGAGCUCGUAGGCGGUCUGUUACGUCCGCUGUGAAAACCCAGGGCUUAACUCCGGGCCUGCAGUGGGUACGGGCAGACUAGAGUGCGGUAGGGGAGACUGGAAUUCCUGGUGUAGCGGUGAAAUGCGCAGAUAUCAGGAGGAACACCGGUGGCGAAGGCGGGUCUCUGGGCCGUAACUGACGCUGAGGAGCGAAAGCAUGGGGAGCGAACAGG